CUCAACUCAAUCUAGACGGUCAGACCCAAUAAACACCCGAGUCCCAAAUAGAUCUGUACAAACGUUAGGUCGAUUUCGGGUUAUGGGUCGUGCUCGUAUCUAACAUGUGUCUAAUGUUGGGUCAGGUCAGCUUGUGCUCUCUGGUUGACGUGUUGGCUCGGAUUUUUUCGGUUCGGUCGGAUUUUUUUUAUUUGAGUAGAUUUUUUUAGAUUAGGUUAGGUUUUAGGUCAAAAAUCGUAACUCAUAUCUGUAAAUUAUUGCGGAUCAAGAAUUUGAGUUGUAUUGGUUGGAUGAGAUCGGGGUUAGUCCCGAAAUUAGCAGCCGGCAUACACGAGAGAUACGACCAGCGGUCAGCCCCCUUUCGGCCUUUCCCUCCCAUAUACUCGCCGUCGGCCAGCGGAUCUAAUCGGGGCGGGCGCGAUGGCUGGGCAGAACCAGCGGCUCAACGUCGUGCCGACGGUGACGAUGCUCGGCGUCAUGAAGGCUCGGCUCGUCGGCGCGACCCGCGGCCACGCGCUGCUGAAGAAGAAGUCCGACGCGCUGACGGUCCAGUUCCGCGCCAUCCUCAAGAAGAUCGUCGCCGCCAAGGAGUCGAUGGGCGAGACGAUGCGCGCCUCCUCCUUCUCCCUCGCCGAGGCCAAGUACGUCGCUGGCGACGGCGUCCGCCACGUCAUCCUCCAGUCCGUCCGCGCGGCAUCCGUCCGCGUCCGCUCCCACCAGGAGAACGUGGCCGGGGUCAAGCUCCCCAAGUUCACCCACUUCGUCGACCCCGCCGCGGCCUCCGGGGGCCCCUCCAACGCGUCCCCGAGCCUCACGGGCCUGGCCCGCGGCGGGCAGCAGGUCGCCGCCUGCCGCUCCGCGCACGUCAAGGCCAUCGAGGUGCUCGUCGAGCUCGCAUCUCUGCAAACCUCCUUCCUCACUCUCGACGAGGCCAUCAAGACCACCAACCGCCGCGUCAACGCGCUCGAGAACGUCGUCAAGCCCAGGAUCGAGAACACCAUCAGCUACAUCAAGGGGGAGCUCGACGAGCUCGAGCGCGAGGACUUCUUCAGGCUCAAGAAGAUCCAGGGCUACAAGAAGAGGGAGAUCGAGCGCCAGAUGGCCGCCGCCAGGCUAUUUGCGGAGGAACAGCUUGCCGAGGAUCUCGCGCUUAAGAGGGGUAUCUCCGUGGGGGCUGCGGCAAACCUGCUGGUUGCUGGUGGGGAGAAGGACGACGACAUCAUCUUCUGACCACUCCUUCCAUGGCCAUCCAGUCAUUCAAUCGAUUAUCAUUUUAUCUUAAAAUGCUGAAGACUGGCCAUUGGAAUUUAAUUGGCAGAAACAAUAAGUUGAUGCUGGAGCUCCAGAAUUGUAUCUGUUUAUAGAAUGAUGGAGAUUUUGAUUCAGUAAUCUGGAGUCUAGCCAUCCGAGAUCCUCAAUAAUCUGUACCUGGAAACCAAACAGUGCCAAGUAACUUUUACGGAGCGUUAUGUGCAGCUCGUGUAGAAAAUUCAAUUGAACCGUAUUUCCUGUCGUGUACCUUCCAGUACCGUAUUAUAUUAUAUAUUUAUUAUUCAAUUGGACCUGCACUCAGAAGUUGCAGUCUGGGACGUAUUUGCUUUUGCAUUUUAUAA